UACGUAGGGACCGAGCGUUGUCCGGAAUCAUUGGGCGUAAAGAGCGUGUAGGCGGCCCGGUAAGUCCGCUGUGAAAGUCCAGGGCUCAACCCUGGAAUGCCGGUGGAAACUGUCGGGCUAGAGUCCGGAAGAGGCGAGUGGAAUUCCUGGUGUAGCGGUGAAAUGCGCAGAUAUCAGGAGGAACACCAAUGGCGAAGGCAGCUCGCUGGGACGGUACUGACGCUGAGACGCGAAAGCGUGGGGAGCAAACAGG
rnacentral:rRNA from 1 species